rnacentral:rRNA from 1 species
UACGAAGGGGGCUAGCGUUGUUCGGAAUUACUGGGCGUAAAGCGCACGUAGGCGGACUAUUAAGUCAGGGGUGAAAUCCCGGGGCUCAACCCCGGAACUGCCUUUGAUACUGGUAGUCUCGAGUCCGGAAGAGGUGAGUGGAAUUCCGAGUGUAGAGGUGAAAUUCGUAGAUAUUCGCAAGAACACCAGUGGCGAAGGCGGCUCACUGGCCCGAUACUGACGCUGAGGUGCGAAAGCGUGGGGAGCAAACAGG